GGGGCUGAUUCAGGAUUCGACAGGAUCAAGAAGGCUCGUGGAGCAUGCCGAGGGGCGGUUUGCCUCGUAAAAAGCCGCAAAAAAAUAGUCGCAAACGACGAAAACUACGCACUAGCAGCUUAAUAACCUGCUGAGAGCCUGCCCUCCUAGCCUCCGCCUGUAGGACGGGGAAUCAGGCAGUCAAACCCAAACAGGAUCGCGUGGAUGCUUUGACUCGAUAGCUGAAGCGCUAAAGAUAAUUCGGGUAUGUCUUUUUGUAGCGUGUCUAUUCGCAGCACACUGACGAGAUUAAAGAUAGACUAAGCAUGUAGCGCCAUUAGUUAGACUGAUUUUGGACGCGGGUUCAACUCCCGCCAGCUCCACCA
rnacentral:tmRNA from 1 species